rnacentral:rRNA from 1 species
CAGCCGCCACGGUAAUACAGAGGGUGCGAGCGUUAAUCGGAUUUACUGGGCGUAAAGCGUGCGUAGGCGGCUUUUUAAGUCGGAUGUGAAAUCCCUGAGCUUAACUUAGGAAUUGCAUUCGAUACUGGGAAGCUAGAGUAUGGGAGAGGAUGGUAGAAUUCCAGGUGUAGCGGUGAAAUGCGUAGAGAUCUGGAGGAAUACCGAUGGCGAAGGCAGCCAUCUGGCCUAAUACUGACGCUGAGGUACGAAAGCAUGGGGAGCAAACAGGAUUAGACCCCCGUAGUCCCUGUCUCUUAUACAC